rnacentral:rRNA from 1 species
UACGAAGGGUGCAAGCGUUACUCGGAAUUACUGGGCGUAAAGCGUGCGUAGGUGGUUUGUUAAGUCUGUUGUGAAAGCCCCGGGCUCAACCUGGGAAUGGCAAUGGAUACUGGUAAGCUAGAGUGCGGUAGAGGGUAGUGGAAUUCCCGGUGUAGCGGUGAAAUGCGUAGAGAUCGGGAGGAACACCAGUGGCGAAGGCGGCUACCUGGACCAGCACUGACACUGAGGCACGAAAGCGUGGGGAGCAAACAGG